rnacentral:lncRNA from 1 species
AAAAUAAAAUAAAAUAAAUUGAAAAAAGAAACCAAAUACUUACACAACUGAACCAGGAAGAAGGAAGAAAAAAUCAAGGACCCAAACGAAUUGUUGCUUUCAUAUCCGCCCUAUUCACUACAAAAGGUCGACAACGAGCCGUUGAUUGUAUCGAUUAAGGUUUGUUUCACAGUCCUUUUAAAAAUUGCAAAUGUAUGAUCUUCCAUGUGAUUGUAUUUUAUGUAUUUAGUUUCAAAUUCUAAAAAUUGUGAAUGUAUUUAUCAAAUUGCUCUGCUUGUUUCUCCUCUACAAAAAGUAUGUAAAAGUAUGAUAUCAUACAUAAAUUUAUUAGACUGCUUUGCUGGUUUUUCGUCUAUAUUUUAUAUCUAUGAUUCAUGACAAAUUGGUAUUGCAUUGACAAAUGCCACCCAAUGAGGACUUGUUAGAUCUUCAAGAUUCAAAAACCCAACUCAACAACCUCAGAUUUUAGAGACAGAGAACGAGAAAGAGGACCUUGCCAUUUACUUUCUUCACCAUCAUUAUACGUACUAACUAGCUUGGAUUAUUAUC